rnacentral:lncRNA from 1 species
CGGACACCAGAUAGACUACGGGAGAACGGUGCGGGAUUAAUUGUUUUUCUAGUUGCUGUGACAAACCAUCUGAUAGAAACAAUUUGAUCUACAGUUUGAAGAUGGAAACUUCUGUGGAGGGAAAGCUAUCAUAGCAGCAUGACAGAAGCAGCUGAUCAGACUUGGUCCUUAGUCAGGACACAGAGAGGUGGAUGACCUGCGACAAGGAGGAAGAAGCCCGCACAGGAAUUACGUUCUUCUCUUUCUCCCUCAGAAGCAAGCCUUAGCCAGCUUGUGCUGUGCCAACAUCAGAGGCAGAACUGAGGUAUGGCAGCAACAUGACCAGGAUGGGAGAGUGCUCUGGAGGAAGCCCCUGAAUUCCUGGCUUAAAAGGGAUAUGAAGUGACUCUCUAGAAAGAGAAAGUGGCUGUGGUAGAUGUCCUCACUCCGUG